rnacentral:rRNA from 1 species
CCUACGGGCGGCACCAGUGGGGAAUAUUGCACAAUGGGCGCAAGCCUGAUGCAGCCAUACCGCGUGUAUGAAGAAGGCCUUCGGGUUGUAAAGUACUUUCAGCGGGGAGGAAGGCGUUGUGGUUAAUAACCUCAUCAAUUGACGUUACCCGCAGAAGAAGCACCGGCUAACUCCGUGCCAGCACCCGCGGUAAUGCGGAGGGUGCAAGCGUUAAUCGGAAUUACUGGGCGUAAAGCGCACGCAGGCGGUCUGUCGAGUCGGAUGUGAAAUCCCCGGGCUCAACCUGGGAACUGCAUUCGAAACUGGCAGGCUAGAGUCUUGUAGAGGGGGGUAGAAUUCCAGGUGUAGCGGUGAAAUGCGUAGAGAUCUGGAGGAAUACCGGUGGCGAAGGCGGCCCCCUGGACAAAGACUGACGCUCAGGUGCGAAAGCGUGGGGAGCAAACGGGAUUAGAUACCCCUGUAGUC